rnacentral:rRNA from 1 species
CCAGACUCCUACGGGAGGCAGCAGUGAGGAAUAUUGGUCAAUGGGAGAGAUCCUGAACCAGCCAAGCCGCGUGAGGGAAGACGGCCCUAUGGGUUGUAAACCUCUUUUGUCGGAGAACAAAACCCGGGACGUGUCCCGGACUGCGUGUAUCCGAAGAAAAAGCAUCGGCUAACUCCGCGCCAGCAGCCGCGGUAAUACGGAGGAUGCGAGCGUUAUCCGGAUUUAUUGGGUUUAAAGGGUGCGUAGGCGGCAUUAUAAGUUAGUGGUAAAAUAUUGGGGCUUCACCUCACUACGCCAUUAAUACUGUAGAGCUAGAGAACAGACGAGGUAGGCGGAAUAAGUUAAGUAGCGGUGAAAUGCAUAGAUAUAACGUAGAACACCGAUAGCGAAGGCAGCUUACCAGACUGAGUCUGACGCUGAUGCACGAGAGCAUGGGUAGCGAACAGGAUUAGAUACCCUCGUACC